rnacentral:tRNA from 1 species
GGUCUCGUGGUCUAGUGGUAUGAUACUCGCUUAGGGUCACACCUUAACGCACCGCAUGCGAGUGGUCCCGGGUUCGAGUCCCGGCGAGACCC